GUUCUCGUGUUGCUUGAUAGUGCAGCACUAAGUGGGUGGUAAACUCCAUCUAAAACUAAAUAUAACCAUGAGACCGAUAGUAAACAAGUACCGUGAGGGAAAGUUGAAAAGAACUCUGAAUAGAGAGUUAAAUAGUACGUGAAACUGCUUAGAGGUUAAGCCCGAUGAACCUGAAUAUCCGUUGUAGAAAAUUCAUCAUCAUGAUUUUAAUAUUUAUAAUAUUAAGAAAAUGGUGUGCAUUUUUUCUAUAAGGACAUUGUAAUCUAUUAACAUAAAUAAAUUUAUCAAAAGAUCAUUAGCGAAUGUUUAUUUGAAUUAUUUUGCUUGCAAUUUAACAUAGAAUAAAUGCUUUUGAUUUGAUAAAGUGUUGAUAGAUUUAUAAUAUAUAGUGCUUAAAUAUAUAUAUUUUAUAAUGGCAUAUUCAUAUAUGUUUAUUAUAUGCACUUAUAUGAUUAACAAUGCGAAAGAUUCAGGAUACCUUCGGGACCCGUCUUGAAACACGGAA
rnacentral:rRNA from 1 species